rnacentral:rRNA from 1 species
GACGAACGCUGGCGGCAGGCCUAACACAUGCAAGUCGCACGAGAAUCCGGCUUCGGUCGGUAGUAAAGUGGCGGACGGGUGAGUAACACGUGGAUAAUCUGCCCUUCGGCGGGGGACAACAGUCCGAAAGGAUUGCUAAUACCGCAUACGUCGGCGAGAUCUUCGGAUUUUGCCGGGAAAGAUGGCCUCUUCAUGAAAGCUAUCUCCGAAGGAUGAGUCCGCGUCCCAUCAGCUAGUUGGCGGGGUAAUGGCCCACCAAGGCUUAGACGGGUAGCUGGUCUGAGAGGAUGAUCAGCCACACUGGAACUGAGACACGGUCCAGACUCCUACGGAGGCAGCAGUGGGGAAUAUUGGGCAAUGGGCGCAAGCCUGACCCAGCCAUGCCGCGUGAGUGAUGAAGGCC